GGCUCGGUAGCUUAGUUGGUUAAGCGCUCGUCUAGCGUCUGGGUUCGAAUCCCAGCCAAGCAC
rnacentral:tRNA from 1 species